UGGGUUGUGGCUCAGGGGUAGAGCACUCACCUAGCAUGUGUGAGGCACUGGGUUUGAUCCUCAGUACCACAU
rnacentral:tRNA from 1 species